ensembl:lncRNA
CUUUUAUAAGUCUCUCUUGACUAGAAUAAAAAUGGAGAUUUAGUAAAAAAUGAGAAUUAAACUUUUUUUUUUCCACUUGAUUUUUGAUUUUUAAACACAAUUUGUACUGUUUUUCCUGUUCUCGUACUAUUUCUUAAACGCUGAAACAAUCAAGCUUUACUGAUUCUCAUUUGAGGAAAACAAAUUGGAGGGAGGAAUAGAUAAAUGAUUUCAGAAAGUAAAACUUAAAUCUGUGCAGGGGACGAAUGAUGGUAGAAUGUCACAUUAUUGGAGUUGAAAAAACUCAAGAUGAAAUGAUGACCAUUCCCCAUCACAGCAGAACACUUCUCUGACUUUGCAGACUGUGUUUACAACCAGAAUGGAAUGUGUUCUGGGCAGAAACAACAGAAAAGCUGGGAGUUGAAUAUCGAACUUCAUGUCUUUAUCCUUGCUGUGAAGACAGACCUUCCACAUUGAGUGAAAAUGCCUGCGUAAGUAGCAGUGCUUUUGCUGUAGUGUACUUUUAUCUAGUUUGUGCCUCAUCGUGGUUGCCUUUCCCUUCUCCUCAUUGUUGGUAUUUCUCCAAGGAGCACAGGCAGCACCUGGGUUCUGUGCAUGCCAGCACCUUUGCAUGCAGUUAUGCAUGCACAGUUCCACUGAGAGCAAGAGGAUUAGCUUUUGCUUUGCAAGAAUCUGAAUGGAAAUGAAGUUGCAGAACAGGCUCCCUGCACCCCAUAUUUUCAACAGACCAGAACUUCAGUUCUGCUUGUGGAGAAAAAUCAAAAGGCC